UACGUAGGGCGCAAGCGUUGUCCGGAAUUAUUGGGCGUAAAGAGCUCGUAGGCGGUUUGUCGCGUCUGCUGUGAAAACCUAAGGCUCAACCUUGGGCUUGCAGUGGGUACGGGCAGACUAGAGUGCGGUAGGGGUGACUGGAAUUCCUGGUGUAGCAGUGGAAUGCGCAGAUAUCAGGAGGAACACCAAUGGCGAAGGCAGAUCUCUGGGCCGUAACUGACGCUGAGGAGCGAAAGCGUGGGGAGCGAACAGG
rnacentral:rRNA from 1 species